rnacentral:rRNA from 1 species
GACAGAGGAGCCAAGCGUUGUCCGGAUUGACUGGGCGUAAAGCGCACGCAGGCGGCCGUGCACGUGGGGUGUGAAAGCGCUCGGCUUAACUGAGCGAUGCCACCUCAUACGGCAGGGCUCGAGCCCGUGAGAGGUCCACGGAAUUGCCGGUGUAGUGGUGAAAUGCGUAGAGAUCCGGAGGAACACCAGUGGCGAAGGCGACACGCUGGGCCGUACCUGACACUGAACCGCGGCAGCAUGGGGAGCAAACAGG